GAUGAAGAACGUAGCGAAAUGCGAUACGUAAUGUGAAUUGCAAAUUCAGUGAAUCAUCGAGUCUUUGAACGCACAUUGCGCCCCCUGGUAUUCCGGGGGGCAUGCCUGUCCGAGCGUCAUUGCUGCCCUCAAGCACGGCUUGUGUGUUGGGCCCCGUCCUCCGAUCCCGGGGGACGGGCCCGAAAGGCAGCGGCGGCACCGCGUCCGGUCCUCGAGCGUAUGGGGCUUUGUCACCCGCUCUGUAGGCCCGGCCGGCGCUUGCCGAUCAACCCAAAUUUUUAUCCAGGUUGACCUCGGAUCAGGUAGGGAUACCCGCUGAACUUAAGCAUACAAUAAGCGGAGGA
rnacentral:misc_RNA from 1 species